CUGGUGGGCUUCGGUGGGCUGGCCAACUCCCGGAGCCUCCUUUAAUCGGACAGGCCCAAGAAGAGAACCUAGCAUCCUGGAGGCUCACCCUUCCGUCUUCCUCUCCAGGCUGUCCAACAACUACAUCACCUACCUUGGGGCAGAAGCCCUCCUGCGGGCCCUGGAAAGGAAUGAUACCAUCCUGGAAGUCUGGCUCCGAGGCAACACUUUUUCUCCGGAGGAAAUUGAGAGGCUCGGCCAGAGGGACACCAGACUCUUGCUCUGAAGCCUGGGGGCCUAUGUUUUAUCUCUGUUCGUUGGCGAACCGGCUUUAUGUCUGGCGGCAGCCCAUUCACACAGAGCCGUGUCCUGCCAGGGUCAUCUUUGUUCCGGCAGGGCAAGGAGCAGCGGUGCCCUUCAGCGUAGACUUCUCCGCAGCCUGUUUCUGCAUCCAGUUCUUCCAAGAUUCAGUCCGUGGAAUGUAGCAGAGGGGCAGCUCCUCCCCUCCUCCAGCUGAUUGGACGCGGGCCACUGGGCCCCCGUGGAUGUGACUGUGUUACUGUGUGCCCGUUGCUGUAGGGACCUAGGUCCACAGGAGAGGCCCCUUCCCACCCGCCUCCCAGUGAGGAGGGGGCCUCAGGGAGCAACUUCCUGCUGGGUUUGAACUCCUGGGUUGUCAUCUCUCCAGGCUGUCCCUCCCCCUGUCUGGUCCCUCCACCCACCCUGGACCCCGGCACUUGGCACUUCCUCUGUGGGGAAGGGUUCAGAAUACUGGUGCUCUCAGCUUUGAUAUUUAUAGCCUCCCCCACCCCGACCCCCACCCCCACACACGCAGGGUGGGAAGGGCUAUAAUUGACUUGCUGUCCUUCCUGAUACUUAAAACAUUAUUGAAAGGGGACACGUGACAGCCGUUUGUUCCCCCAGACAUUCUAGAUUUUCAAGAAAAAUAAGACCACGCUACAGCUAGUAUCACACGCACACUUUUAUUUCCGGUGGAUCAAUGAGUGUUCAGUUAAGCCUUUGGAAACCACUCCCCACCCAAAUGCGACUUUUUAGAAUCAGCCCGGGCCAGAAUUUUGAGCAGUCCCACCAGGGCUCUAGUUGAUGCCUGGAAGCCGGACUCUUGACAGCAGUCUUCCAAAAUAUAUUCAUAAGAGAUGGUUCAGUGUUAUGUGAUAUAAAGUUAUGGAUCAAAAGUUUACAAGGGCAAAAUCAAAGACUUUUCCUUAUAAGGCAGAUGUUUUUCUGGAUUUUUUUCCCCCCAAAUGAUGCAUGUUGAAGCCUCCAUAAACUGUCAGGUGCUGUGCAAGUGUUAUUAUUUAAACAUUAUUAUUUGUGAAAACUGGUUAAUAUUUAUAAACCACUUUGUUUUAUUCUCCCCAGUUUGUUUUUAUAAAAAACACAACCAUGAAUUUUAUGCUGUAAAUAGUCACGGAGAAGAAAACUGUGGAGAGCCCCCAAUGGGGGCUAUUUGUGACCAAAUAG
ensembl:lncRNA